rnacentral:rRNA from 1 species
GACGAACGCUGGCGGCGUGCUUAACACAUGCAAGUCGAACGGAAAGGCCCUGCUUUUGUGGUGUGCGCGAGUGGCGAGCGGGUGUGUAACACGUGAGUCACCUGCCCUUGACUUUGGUAUAACUUCGGGACACUGGGGCUAAUACCGGAGAGGAGCUCCCUCUGCGUGGUGGGGGGUGGAGAGUUUCGGCGGUUGGGGGUGGACUCGCGGCUUAUCAGCUUGUUGGUGGGGUUGUGGCUUACCAAGGCUUUGACGGGUAGCCGGCCUGAGAGGGUGACCGGCAACAUUGGGACUGAGAUACGGCCCAGACUCCUACGGGAGGCAGCAGGGGGGAAUAUUGCACAAUGGGCGGAAGCCUGAUGCAGCAACGCCGCGUGCGGGAUGACGGCCUUCGGGUUGUAAACCGCUUUCGCCUGUGACGAAGCGUGAGUGACGGUAAUGGGUAAAGAAGCACCGGCUAACUACGUG